rnacentral:rRNA from 1 species
GACAGAGGGUGCAAACGUUGUUCGGAUUUACUGGGCGUAAAGCGUGUGUAGGCGGCUUCGCAAGUUGGAUGUGAAAUCCCACGGCUCAACCGUGGACGAGCAUCCAAAACUGCGUCGCUAGAGUCUCGGAGAGGAAGGUGGAAUGCUUGGUGUAGAGGUGAAAUUCGUAGAUAUCAAGCAGAACACCUGCGGCGAAGGCGGCCUUCUGGACGAUGACUGACGCUGAGACACGAAAGCGUGGGGAGCAAACAGG